AUGAGCAUCUUUCUUCGUAGCAGGAUCAGGGGAAAGAAUGGGAAAGACAAUUUUACUAUAUUUCUUACCGGGAACAGGGCCUAUCACAAGAAUGUUUUUUAUCAGGACAAUAACUCUGAAAAGCAAGAUUUCCUAUCUUUUCUUUUAACUCAGGGGAAAUACGAUCAGGAGGCACUAAUUCGAAUCCCUCGGGCAAAAUAA
rnacentral:rRNA from 1 species